rnacentral:sRNA from 1 species
ACUCAACGCUAAUUUCUUUAAAAAGGGUGAGUUUAGGUUGUAAAAGCGCGCCGCUUUUUAAGCGGAUUCUUGAGCAAUCUGUUAGCCCUAAACCUGUUUAUUACGAGUUU